rnacentral:tRNA from 1 species
GCGGAUGUGGCGGAAUUGGUAGACGCGCACGGUUCAGGUCCGUGUGCCCUUCGGGGCGUGGAGGUUCAAGUCCUCUCAUCCGCA